rnacentral:misc_RNA from 1 species
AUAUUAAAAAUGGCUGAAGGAAAAGGGAAAAUUUCAGAGACUAAGAUACUAUGACUGAAAAUCCUUCUUUAUAAAUCAGUCCCAUAAAGCCAGAUGGUACUAAUUAUCUUGCAUGGUUAAGAUCUUGUUUGUUAUUUAUGCAGGCUAGAGGACUACAAGGAUAUGUCACUGAAGAUGAAACAAAACCGGCAGUAAGAGUACCACUUAUAGUCAAUGGG